GGUAAAAUGGCUGAGUAAAGCAAUAGACUGUAAAUCUAAGAACAGGGGUUUAAUUCCUCUUUUUACCA
rnacentral:tRNA from 1 species